rnacentral:lncRNA from 1 species
GAAUGCUUCGCUUGGUCCAGCAGGCAGAUUGAAGUCGUAAUCAUAUGGAUUCUGUGGAGGAAUGACAUCUGUAAACAAUGUAAGUUUAACCUCUUUCAUGUGAGAGCACUACAAAAUUUAGAACUUUCAACAUUUAAUGAUAAAGAAGACAUAUAGUGGAGAAAUUCCCAGGAUGAAAAUCGUUGUCUGAUGUAUUGCAGGACUUGUGUGCAUUCCCUUUUUUUAGUUUUCAAGUAACUUAUUGAGAUGAAAAUUUUAUAUACACUGUUGCAUAGGAGAUGAUUAUAAAUAAAACCAGUGCUGGAAAAAGGAAAAGAGGAAAUAAUGUUUCCAAUGCCAUUCAUCUUUACUUAGAGGUUUCAUUGUUCUUAAUUUUUAUCUCAAUUUCAUAAUGUGUCUUUAAUACUAAUUUUAACUCUCUCACAACAUAUUGACAACUAGGUGCUGUAAUUCAAAUAUAAAUAGCAUACUAAUUUUUAUGCUUACUUUGAUUUUUUCUUGGCGUGCAGUUGCCAGCAAUCCGUAUGUUUCGUUGAGUUGAUAAAUUUACAUGCACAGGAAAGAGCCCAGAAGGUCCACAUCCAGAAUGGUUAUUAAUUCCCACCGGUGCUGCACUUGUAGAUGCAGCUGAGACU